rnacentral:lncRNA from 1 species
ACAUGCAUGCUGUAGCAUGCUCCUUUCCCCUCAUCAGAAUCACACAAUAAUAACAACAACAACAAUAACAAUAUAAAAAUUCACAACGCCAAGCCAGGACAUUCAUUGUAAGGCAGGAACAUAUAAACAGCUGAGGAAUCUGCAGGGGAGCAUGGUGGGUCCCACAGCCCCUGCUCCUUGGAGUCUGGUGCAUGGCCACUACAUACCUAGGCUCGUUUUAACCUCUUUAUGCACAUUCACCACACACAGCAGCAUUGAGCUUGUUCAAACAGUGCCACUCACUGUUGAUGCUAUGGACUAUAUCUGUAUCUCACCCAAAUUCAUGGUUUGAAAGCAUGAUGUCAAGUGUGGGGACUUUGGAAGUUCAAUGGUCACCAUGUCAGAGCCAUUGUAGUUAGGGUUGCCCAGAUGAAAGAAGCCCCAAGUCGUGCGUGGUGAAUCAUGCAUGCCCAAGUCGUGCAUGGUGAAUCAUGCAUGCACUUGCAGCAGGAGGCUAGUAAGUUGGAGGCCAGCCUGUGCUACAUAGUGAAUUUGGAGCCAGCUGGGGUUACUUAGAGAGUUGCUAUCCAACAAACAGAGAGAGGGAGAGAGAGAGAGAGAGAGAGAGAGGCUCAAAAAGACCGAAGACACUGAGGAGGGUGCCUUUGGCUUCCCACCCCCCAGAACAGUAAGACAUAAUCCUCCUGGAUUCCUGCUGUUACUAAGCUACCCUGUGUAUGACCCUUAUGACUCACAGGAUGGACCAGCAGAGGGUGUUGGGCUAGAUAGAAGCAGCCAAUUGCACUUGGAUCUCUGCUUGCUCUAUGGCUUUGAUAAGUCACUAGGAUUCUUUAAAGUACCGAAUAGGAACACGAUGUGCAUUUGCAAUUCAGAGUCCAGGGAUUCACAAAGAACUUACCAGUUCUGCUUGCACUCAUUUGGUGCAUAGACAUACAUUCAGAUCUCACCAAUUCUUUUGUGGCCAGUGGUAGAUAUUGUUGCCAUUUUGGUGACUAUUUUAAGGCAGAGUGCCUUCUGCCAGGGAGCUUAUCAUACAGCUGUGGAGGGAAGAUUUCUCCAACUCAAAAGAGAAUGUCCAGCUGGGAGGUGACAUAUCUCAGCACUCAGAAGUAGAGGGAGGGGGGAUCUGUUGUGAGUUUGAGGCCAGCCAGGUCUACAUAGGGAGCUCUAGGUCAGCCAGAGAAACAUGGUGAGAUCCUGUCUCAAAUAAAAUAAAAUAAAAUGUAAAAUGAACAAAAGAGAAUUCCCAUGACACAUUGAAACUCACUGCUUUCUAAGCUAACUUUAAUAGGAAG